UUCCCUCUCUUUGGUUUCUCUCUCUCUCACACACACACACAUACUAACUCACUUUGUGUAGUAUAGCGCUUACUGCAGCAGUAAGUACACCGUGCAUCGGAGCCACGGGUAGAGUAUAAGAGUAGCUGUGCCCCCAUGGCAUAUUCGCUACGUGCACAAUUUUGAAGCAGCGCCAAUCAAGGAAAAACGAGCACUAUUGGCCUCGCAUAGCAGGAGGCAAUAUUCGCGAUACAUGCUACAUAUACAACGUUUGUUUUCGUUUUCGAAGUCAGAGCUUCUGCAUCUUUGGAGGUUACACCAGCUAGUAGCUCUAAAAGAUUGUGCGCGUAGCGAAUGGGCUCUCUCCCUCUCUGUACAGUGAGCUCUGCAGGAGGAGACCAAGAGAGUGCUUACCUCGACCAGCUAGCUACGAAGUCAAGGACCGUUCUCAAGGAGGUUGCGGACCAAAGCACGUAUACCUAUCUAUAUCCUUAGUAUUUACUACACAGUACCUGAUGCUAUAUACGGAGGAGGAGGAGGAGGAGGAAGA